CCUACGGGUGGCAGCAGUGAGGAAUAUUGGUCAAUGGACGCAAGUCUGAACCAGCCAUGCCGCGUGCAGGAUGACGGCUCUAUGAGUUGUAAACUGCUUUUGUACGAGGGUAAACCCCGAUACGUGUAGCGGGUUGAAAGGAGCGUACGAAUAAGGAUCGGCUAACUCCGUGCCAGCAGCCGCGGUAAUACGGAGGAUCCGAGCGUUAUCCGGAUUUAUUGGGUGUAAGGGGUGCGUAGGCGGUUUGAUAAGUUAGAGGUGACAUGUCGGGGCUCAACCCCGACACUGCCUCUAAUACGGUUGGCCUAGCGCAUAGUUGCGGUAGGCGGAGUGUAUGGUGUAGCGGUGAAAUGCUUCGAGAUCAUACAGCACUCCGAUUGCG
rnacentral:rRNA from 1 species